GAUGAACGCUGGCGGCGUGCCUAAUACAUGCAAGUAGAACGCUGAAGGAGGAGCUUGCUCUUCUGGAUGAGUUGCGAACGGGUGAGUAACGCGUAGGUAACCUGCCUGGUAGCGGGGGAUAACUAUUGGAAACGAUAGCUAAUACCGCAUGACAACAGUUAAUGCAUGAUAACUGUUUAAAAGGGGCAACUGCUCCACUACCAGAUGGACCUGCGUUAUAUUAGCUAGUUGGUGAGGUAACGGCUCACCAAGGCGACGAUACAUAGCCGACCUGAGAGGGUGAUCGGCCACACUGGGACUGAGACACGGCCCAGACUCCUACGGGAGGCAGCAGUAGGGAAUCUUCGGCAAUGGACGGAAGUCUGACCGAGCAACGCCGCGUGAGUGAAGAAGGUUUUCGGAUCGUAAAGCUCUGUUGUAAGAGAAGAACGAGUGUGAGAGUGGAAAGUUCACACUGUGACGGUAUCUUACCAGAAAGGGACGGCUAACUACGUG
rnacentral:rRNA from 1 species